GUGCUUGCUUCAGCACAUAUACUAAAAUUAGAACUAUACAGAGAAGAAUAACAUGGCUCCUGCAUGAGUUGUCAUGAAAAUUCAUGAAGCAUUCCAUAUUUUU
ensembl:snRNA U6 U6 spliceosomal RNA